rnacentral:rRNA from 1 species
UGGGGAAUUUUGGACAAUGGGGGAAACCCUGAUCCAGCCAUCCCGCGUGUGCGAUGAAGGCCUUCGGGUUGUAAAGCACUUUUGGCAGGAAAGAAACGUCAUGGGUUAAUACCCCGUGAAACUGACGGUACCUGCAGAAUAAGCACCGGCUAACUACGUGCCAGCAGCCGCGGUAAUACGUAGGGUGCAAGCGUUAAUCGGAAUUACUGGGCGUAAAGCGUGCGCAGGCGGUUCGGAAAGAAAGAUGUGAAAUCCCAGAGCUCAACUUUGGAACUGCAUUUUUAACUACCGGGCUAGAGUGUGUCAGAGGGAGGUGGAAUUCCGCGUGUAGCAGUGACAUGCGUAGAUAAGCGGAGGAACACCGAUGGCGAAGGCAGCCUCCUGGGAUAACACUGACGCUCAUGCACGAAAGCGUGGGGAGCAAACAGG